AUUGAACGCUGGCGGCAGGCCUAACACAUGCAAGUCGACCGGAGUGGCGGACGGGUGAGUAAUGUCUGGGAAACUGCCUGGUAGUGGGGGAUAACGUCCGGAAACGGGAGCUAAUACCGCAUACUAUCAGAUGAGCCUAGGUGGGAUUAGCUAGUUGGUGGGGUAAAGGCGUACCAAGGCGACGAUCCGUACCUGGUCUGAGAGGAUGAUCAGUCACACUGGAACUGAGACACGUUCCAGACUCCUACGGGAGGCAGCAGUGGGGAAUAUUGGACAAUGGGCGAAAGCCUGAUCCAGCCAUGCCGCGUGUGUGAAGAAGGUCUUCGGAUUGUAAAGCACUUUCAGUUGGGAGGCGUUACCAACAGAAUAAGCACCGGCUAACUUCGUGCCAGCCGCCGCGGUAAUAC
rnacentral:rRNA from 1 species